CCCUAGCCCUGAUGGAAACGGCAUCCUUUUAUGUCUUUCUUUAAGACAUAAAAGAUAGAGUGGACAGCAGGAAAUAGC
rnacentral:sRNA from 1 species